rnacentral:rRNA from 1 species
UGGUGCCAGCAGCCGCGGUAAUUCCAGCUCCAAUAGCGUAUAUUAAAGUUGCUGCAGUUAAAAAGCUCGUAGUUGAAUUUCGGGACCAUCAUGUCGGUCGUGCCUCGGUACGUACUGGCAUUGUUGGUUUCUCCCUUCUGACGAACCAUGAUGUCAUUAAUUUGGUGUCUUGGGGAAUCAGGACUGUUACUUUGAAAAAAUUAGAGUGUUUAAAGCAGGCUCACGCUUGAAUACAUUAGCAUGGAAUAAUGAAAUAGGACGUUUGAUUCUAUUUUGUUGGUUUCUAGGAUCGACGUAAUGAUUAAUAGGGAUAGUUGGGGGCAUUAGUAUUCAAUUGUCAGAGGUGAAAUUCUUGGAUUUAUUGAAGACUAACUACUGCGAAAGCAUUUGCCAAGGAUGUUUUCAUUAAUCAAGAACGAAAGUUAGGGGAUCGAAGACGAUCAGAUACCGUCGUAGUCUUAACCAUAAACUAUGCCGACUAGGGAUCGGAUGAUGUUAAUUUUUUAAUGACUCAUUCGGCGC